ACGCUCGACACCUACUGGAGGCAGCAGUGAGGAAUAUUGGUCAAUGGACGCAAGUCUGAACCAGCCAUGCCGCGUGCAGGAUGACGGCUCUAUGAGUUGUAAACUGCUUUUGUACGAGGGUAAACGCAGAUACGUGUAUCUGUCUGAAAGUAUCGUACGAAUAAGGAUCGGCUAACUCCGUGUCAGCAGCCGCGGUAAUCUGAGCGGGCUGGCAAGGC
rnacentral:rRNA from 1 species